rnacentral:rRNA from 1 species
CCUACGGGUGGCAGCAGUGAGGAAUAUUGGUCAAUGGGCGUAAGCCUGAACCAGCCAAGUAGCGUGCAGGAUGACUGCCCUACGGGUUGUAAACUGCUUUUAUGAGGGGAUAAAAUGCGGCACGUGUGCUGUUUUGUAUGUACCUCAUGAAUAAGGACCGGCUAAUUCCGUGCCAGCAGCCGCGGUAAUACGGAGGAUCCGAGCGUUAUCCGGAUUUAUUGGGUUUAAAGGGAGCGUAGGUUGGUUGUUAAGCCAGUUGUGAAAUUUUGCGGCUCAACCUUAGAAUUGCAAUGGAUACUGGCAGCCUUGAGUGCAGGUGAGGUAGGCGGAAUUCGUGGUGUAGCGGUGAAAUGCUUAGAUAUCACGAAGAACUCCGAUUGCGAAGGCAGCUUACUAAACUGCCACUGACGUUGAUGCUCGAAGGUGUGGGUAUCGAACAGGAUUAGAUACCCGAGUAGUC